rnacentral:rRNA from 1 species
UUCUGAGACCUGAUAGGCGCCCCGUUUUCGGGGUGAUUCGGUGAUCCUAUGCUGCCUAGAAAAGCAUCGGCGCGAGGUCCCAGUCCGCCCGUACCCCAAACCGACACAGGUGAUCAGGUAGAGAAUACUAAGGCGAUCGAGAGAAUCAUGGUUAAGGAACUCGGCAAAAUGCCCCCGUAACUUCGGAAGAAGGGGGGCCUGCCCCGUGAUGAGAACUUGCUUCUCUGAUGCGGGUGUGGGCCGCAGAGACCAGGGGGAAGCGACUGUUUACUAAAAACACAGGUCCGUGCGAAGUCGCAAGACGAUGUAUACGGACUGACUCCUGCCCGGUGCUGGAAGGUUAAGAGGACUGGUUAGCCCUUGUGGCGAAGCUGAGAAUUUAAGCCCCAGUAAACGGCGGUGGUAACUAUAACCAUCCUAAGGUAGCGAAAUUCCUUGUCGGGUAAGUUCCGACCUGCACGAAUGGAGUAACGACUUCCCCGCUGUCUCAACCAUGAACUCGGCGAAAUUGCAGUACGAGUAAAGAUGCUCGUUACGCGCAGCAGGACGGAAAGACCCCGAGACCUUUACUAUAGUUUGGUAUUGGUGUUCGGUGCAGCUUGUGUAGGAUAGGUGGGAGACUGUGAAGCUUGGACGCUAGUUCAGGUGGAGUCAUCGUUGAAAUACCACUCUGGCUGUACCGGUCACCUAACUUCGGACCAUGAUCUGGUUCAGGGACAGUGCCUGAUGGGUAGUUUAACUGGGGCGGUUGCCUCCUAAAAUGUAACGGAGGCGCCCAAAGGUUCCCUCAGCCUGGUUGGCAAUCAGGUGUCGAGUGUAAGUGCACAAGGGAGCUUGACUGUGAGAGUGACAGCUCGAGCAGGGACGAAAGUCGGGACUAGUGAUCCGGCGGCACCUCGUGGAAGGGCCGUCGCUCAACGGAUAAAAGGUACCUCGGGGAUAACAGGCUGAUCUUGCCCAAGAGUCCAUAUCGACGGCAUGGUUUGGCACCUCGAUGUCGGCUCGUCGCAUCCUGGGGCUGGAGUAGGUCCCAAGGGUUGGGCUGUUCGCCCAUUAAAGCGGUACGCGAGCUGGGUUUAGAACGUCGUGAGACAGUUCGGUCCCUAUCCGCUGCGCGCGUUGGAAAUUUGAGAAGGGCUGUCCUUAGUACGAGAGGACCGGGACGGACGAACCUCUGGUGUGUCAGUUGUACUGCCAAGUGCAUCGCUGAUUAGCUACGUUUGGAAGGGAUAACCGCUGAAAGCAUCUAAGCGGGAAGCCUGCUUCGAGAUGAGAUUUCCAUGCACCUUUGUGUGUGAGAGGCCCCCAGCUAGACCACUGGGUUGAUAGGCAGGAUGUGGAAGCAAGGACUGAAGACUUGUGCAGCUGACCUGUACUAAUAGGCCGAUGGCUUACAACA